rnacentral:rRNA from 1 species
AGAGUUUGAUCCUGGCUCAGAACUAACGCUGGUGGCGUGUCUUAGUCAUGCAAGUCGAACGAGAAAGCACCCUUCGGGGUGCGAGUAAAGUGGCGGACGGGUGAGUAACACGUGGGUAACCUGCCUUCGAGUGGGGAACAACCCUUCUAACGAGGGGCUAAUACCGCAUAAUGCAGCGGCUCCGCAUGGAGACAGUUGUUAAAGGGGCAGCUUCGGCUGUCUCGCUUGAAGAUGGACCCGCGGUCCAUUAGCUUGUUGGUGAGGUAACGGCUCACCAAGGCAACGAUGGAUAGCCGGCCUGAGAGGGUGUACGGCCACACUGGAACUGAGAAAGGUCCAGUCCCCUACGGGGGGCAGCAGUCUAGAAAUUUGCGCAAUGGGCGAAAGCCUGACGCAGCGACGCCACGUGGAGGAUGAAGCCCUUAGGGGUGUAAACUCCUGUCAGAAGGGAAGAAUGCAGGAAAUAACUUUUCCUGUUUGACUGUACCUUCAGAGGAAGCCCCGGCUAACUUCGUGCCAGCAGCCGCGGUAAUACGAAGGGGGCAAGCGUUGUUCGGAUUUACUGGGCGUAAAGGGCGUGCAGGCGGACCGAUAAGU